GGAAAAAAAAUAUCAUUAAACCUACAUUAGAGCACCUCACAUGAGUAACUAAGAAAAUGCUUCGCAUAGAGAAUUGAGUAGCAAACAGGGAGGAGUACAACCCUCGCUUACUCGACAAGUGUUCAAAAUCAGUACUGAGCGUGUCAAGCAGAGCAGUAUAGCCAGCGCAGAUUUGGCUCAAACUGAUUCAAGUAUGGUUAUGGGUAUGGAUUUGCGGAUACGGCAAUUUUUUUUUUCCUUGGGUUCGGGUACAGUCGGAGGAGUUGAUGGAGGUGUGUAUCCAUCUACCAUGGAUUGCCAAACAUCAUAACCAAGUGCGUUCAGAUAGGCUUUCAUCUUGAUACUCCAAAAUGCAUAAUUUGUCCCAUCGAAAAUUGAAUUUCUAACUGCAUAGUUAUCUACCAUUGUGCUCUUUUGAGGAUCUACCUUCAAACUGUAAGGCUAUCUUCGAAGGAACCUGCUCUGAUACCAAUUGAAGAGCACACAGUUAUACUAAGAGGGGGGGUGAAUCAGUAUAAUGAAAUUUUUCAAUUCAAUAUUUUAUAUGAUAGAAUCAAUCCCUAAAAA